GCCUGGCUGGCUCAUUUGGUAGAGUGUGUGACUCUUGAUCUUGAGGUUGUAAGUUCAAGCCCCAUGUUGGGUG
rnacentral:tRNA from 1 species